CCUACGUGUGGCAGCAGUAGGGAAUCUUCCUCAAUGGGGGAAACCCUGAAGCAGCAACGCCGCGUGGAUGAUGAAGGUUUUCGGAUUGUAAACUCCUUUUGUUAGAGAAGAUAAUGACGGUAUCUAACGAAUAAGCACCGGCUAACUCCGUGCCAGCAGCCGCGGUAAUACGGAGGGUGCAAGCGUUACUCGGACUCACUGGGCGUAAAGAGCUCGGAGGCGGUAUAGCAAGUCAGAUGUGAAAUCCUAUGGCUUAACCAUAGAACUGCAUUUGAAACUGUAAUUCUAGAGUAUGGAAGAGGUAGGUGGAAUUCUAGGUGUAGGGGUGAAAUCCGUAGAGAUAAAGAAGAAUACUCAUUGCGAAGGCGACCUGCUAGAACAUAACUGACGCUGAUGCGCGAAAGCGUGGGGAGCAAACAGGAUUAGAUACCCUUGUAGUC
rnacentral:rRNA from 1 species